rnacentral:rRNA from 1 species
AAUGAACGCUGGCGGCAGGCCUAACACAUGCAAGUCGAACGGACCCUUCGGGGUUAGUGGCGGACGGGUGAGUAACGCGUGGGAACGUGCCCUUUGGUUCGGAAUAGCCUCGGGAAACUGGGAGUAAUACCGGAUAAGCCCUUCGGGGGAAAGAUUUAUCGCCAAAGGAUCGGCCCGCGUUGGAUUAGGUAGUUGGUGGGGUAAUGGCCUACCAAGCCGACGAUCCAUAGCUGGUUUGAGAGGAUGAUCAGCCACACUGGGACUGCGACACGGCCCAGACUCCUACGGGAGGCAGCAGUGGGGAAUCUUAGACAAUGGGGGAAACCCUGAUCUAGCCAUGCCGCGUGAUCGAUGAAGGCCUUAGGGUUGUAAAGAUCUUUCAGAUGGGAAGAUAAUGACGGUACCAUCAGAAGAAGCCCCGGCUAACUCCGUGCCAGCCGCCGCAGUAA